AUGGGGGAGGCGGACGCAAGCGCCGGCGGCGGGGACCCGCAAAAGCUGAAGCGGAUCACGGCGAGAGUGUACGAGUAUGAGAACGACACGCGGUGGGCGGGGUACUGGUCCAACGCCCUCGUCCCGCCCGACCUUGCCUCCCUCCCCGACGUCGUCGACCACUUCAAGUGAAAGUUCUACCAGAGAUACAUCGUAAGACCCACCCAUACGACGGCCUCCCCCUGUUUUUGGAUGGGGCGGAUAACUGCUAGUUCGAUCUGUUUGACUUAUCUCCGGUGUGUUGGUGUCGGAGAGAAUUAA
rnacentral:rRNA from 1 species